CUUACCCUUUCCAUUAUAGUUUUGUUUAGUCUUUCUGCCACUCUGUUUUGUUGGGGUGUGUAGGUCACUGUUUUGUGUCUUGUUAUUCCACUUUGCCUGCAAAAGUUAUUAAACAACUCUCCACAAAACUCCAAACCAUUGUCAGUUCUAAGAUAUCUAACAUUUUUAUCAGUUUGUUUUUAUAUCAUUAGUUUCCAUUCUUUAAGUUUUUCAAAAACUUGAUCUUUAGUUUAUAAGAAACAAAUCCAACUUUUUCUAGAAAAAUCAUCAGUAAAAGAUAGAAAAUACCUUGAGCCACUUAGGCUUGGAGUGGAUGCAGGACCCCAUAGAUCCAAAUGGAUGUAGUCUAGGAUUCCUCUUGUUGUGUGUUGUGCUUUGGUGAAGUUUUGUUUUCUUGUUUUGCCUAGUACACAGUGUUCACAAAAGGACAACUUGCUGCAUAUGUCUUGAGGCAGAAUGCCCUGUUUAGAUAGUGCCUCAAGACCCUUCUGACUAAUGUGGGACAAUCUUUUAUGCCAAAUAUCAACUUCUAUUAGGUUUAGAGAUAAAACUGUAUUUGCCUCCUCUAUCAUUUCUACUCCUUUUAUUAUGAACAAAUCAUUUACCUUUUCCCCAACCAAGACUAACUUAGAUCCCAUAAACACUUGGAAAACUCCACAUUUUCCUUUAUAUUCACACCCUAGAGAGUCUAACAUUCUUAGGGAGAUUAAAUUUCUUUUAAGGUGAGGAACAUGUCUUACAUUUCUAAGGAGUUUUACAGUCUUAUCUUUUAGUUUCAUGGUAACUGAUCCAAUUCCAGCAAUGUUACAUUCAUUAUUAUUCCCUAUGAACACAGAUUCUCCACUGAUCUCUCUAUAGGUAUUGAACCAUGCUCUAAAAGGUGUCAUAUGGUAGGUGCAUCCUGAGUCUACGACCCAAUCAUGUUUUCCUAAGGGGUUGACAUGGUUGGCUUGGUCUAAGGUUGAUGCCAAGGCAUCUGUGUAGGUAAAAGAGCUUUCUACUAUAGAGACUUCUGGUUGUUUCCCUUUAGAAUCUUUUUCUUUUUCUUGAUUCUUUCUUUUAAGGAAAAAACAUUCUUGUAUGAGGUGUCCCUUCUUUUUACCUUAUUUACAUUUCUUUUUCUGUUUUCCUUUCUUGUCUUCAUUAGAAAAGGAUUUGUUACUGUUUUUACUUUGAUUGUUUUGGGAUUUACCUCUGACAAACAAUCCAUCACCACUAUGAUUUUCUUUGUGUGAUGAAUGUAUUUCUAAUUCUCUAGUUCUUAGAGCUGAUAUUAUGACAUCUGUUUUUACUGAGUCUCUUCCAUAUUUUAGAGCAUUUUUUACUUCUUUGUAUGCCUCGGGUAAAGAAUUUAAAAGGACAAUGCCUCAUUUUCAUCACUUAGUUUGUCCUCAAGGGUUUUAAAAUCUGAAACUAUUUUCUUGAAUUCAUCUAAGUUUUCAGAUAAGGUUUUAGAAGGAUCCAUUCUAUAUGUGAAAUUUUUUUCCCUUAGGUACAUUUUGUUUGGGAGAUCUUUAGAGGCAUAUAGGCUUUCUAGUUUCAUCCAAACUUUAUAUGCUGUUUCUUCUUCUAGAACUUGCCUAAUUAUGUUGUCACUAAGGUUUAGUAUUAGUGUUCCAUAGGCAUUUAAUUUCAUUUCUUCUUUUUGUGUUGCUGUGAGGGUUGUUGGAAGUUCUGAAGGAUCUAAAAGGGCUUUAUGAGACUUUUGCUGUCCAAGCAAGGCUUUGAUCUUUGCUUUCCAUAAUGCAAAGUCUCCCUUUCCAUCAAACUUCUCAAUUUCUACUCUUGCUAUAGCCAUUUUCAGGUAUAAUUUUGGUUUAGGCCUCUAUUAGUGCAGGAUGAAAGAAAGCAUGGAGGAGAAGGAGACAUGUAGGUCUAACUUGCAGCCGUACACGCGUGAAGAAGAGAAAUUAUUAUUUUUGCAUGUUGCAAAAAAGGAAAGAAAAGAAAAUUAGGAAAAGAAAGGGGAAAUAGAGAAAUGUAAUUACCUUUCUUUUUUUCUUCUUCUUCCUCUACGUUUUCUCUCUGUUUCAAACCCUAAUGGAAAUUAUUGGUGGCUUUGUUGAGUAGAUUUAUUACAGUAGAAUGAAGAAUAGAGAGUAGAGAAGAGAUGCAACACAGUUUUUUACGUGGUUCGGCAAAUAGAAGCCUACAUCCACGAGGAAUGAUCUCUUUUUCUUAUUGAAGAUGAGUUACAAAAUCA